UACGUAGGGUGCGAGCGUUGUCCGGAAUUAUUGGGCGUAAAGAGCUCGUAGGCGGCUUGUCGCGUCGGAUGUGAAAGCCCGGGGCUUAACUCCGGGUCUGCAUUCGAUACGGGCAGGCUAGAGUUCGGUAGGGGAGAUCGGAAUUCCUGGUGUAGCGGUGAAAUGCGCAGAUAUCAGGAGGAACACCGGUGGCGGAGGCGGUGCUCUGGGCCAGUACUGACGCUGAGGAGCGAAAGCGUGGGGAGCGAACAGG
rnacentral:rRNA from 1 species